UACAGAGGUCCCAAGCGUUGUUCGGAUUCACUGGGCGUAAAGGGUGCGUAGGUGGUUGGGCAAGUCUGAUGUGAAAUCUCCGGGCUUAACCCGGAAAUGGCAUUGGAAACUGCCUGGCUAGAGUGUUGGAGGGGGGACUGGAAUUCUCGGUGUAGCAGUGAAAUGCGUAGAUAUCGAGAGGAACACCAGAGGCGAAGGCGGUUACCUGGACAGUUACUGACGCUCAGGCACGAAAGCAUGGGGAGCAAAAGGG
rnacentral:rRNA from 1 species